rnacentral:rRNA from 1 species
GAUGAACGCUGGCGGCGUGCCUAAUACAUGCAAGUCGAGCGAACAGACGAGGAGCUUGCUCCUCUGACGUUAGCGGCGGACGGGUGAGUAACACGUGGAUAACCUACCUAUAAGACUGGGAUAACUUCGGGAAACCGGAGCUAAUACCGGAUAAUAUAUUGAACCGCAUGGUUCAAUAGUGAAAGACGGUUUUGCUGUCACUUAUAGAUGGAUCCGCGCCGCAUUAGCUAGUUGGUAAGGUAACGGCUUACCAAGGCAACGAUGCGUAGCCGACCUGAGAGGGUGAUCGGCCACACUGGAACUGAGACACGGUCCAGACUCCUACGGGAGGCAGCAGUAGGGAAUCUUCCGAAAUGGGCGAAAGCCUGACGGAGCAACGCCGCGUGAGUGAUGAAGGUCUUCGGAUCGUAAAACUCUGUUAUUAGGGAAGAACAAAUGUGUAAGUAACUAUGCACGUCUUGACGGUACCUAAGCAGAAAGCCACGGCUAACUACGU